rnacentral:rRNA from 1 species
UGGCGGCAGGCUUAACACAUGCAAGUCGAACGCCCCGCAAGGGGAGUGGCAGACGGGUGAGGAACACGUGGGAACGUACCCUUUGGUUCGGAACAACCCUGGGAAACUAGGGCUAAUACCGGAUACGAGCGAGAGCUGAAAGGGUUACCGCCGAAGGAUCGGCCCGCGUCUGAUUAGCUAGUUGGUGAGGUAAUGGCUCACCAAGGCGACGAUCAGUAGCUGGUCUGAGAGGAUGAUCAGCCACAUUGGGACUGAGACACGGCCCAAACUCCUACGGGAGGCAGCAGUGGGGAAUAUUGGACAAUGGGCGCAAGCCUGAUCCAGCCAUGCCGCGUGAGUGAUGACGGCCCUAGGGUUGUAAAGCUCUUUUACCCGGGAAGAUAAUGACGGUACCGGGAGAAUAAGCCCCGGCUAACUUCGUGCCAGCAGCCGCGGUAAUACGAAGGGGGCUAGCGUUGUUCGGAUUUACUGGGCGUAAAGCGCACGUAGGCGGACGCUUAAGUCAGGGGUGAAAUCCCGAGGCUCAACCUCGGAACUGCCUUUGACACUGGGUGUCUUGAGUCCGGAAGA